AUUGAACGCUGGCGGCAGGCUUAACACAUGCAAGUCGAGCGGGGGAAGGUAGCUUGCUACCGGACCUAGCGGCGGACGGGUGAGUAGUGCUUAGGAAUCUGCCUAUUAGUGGGGGACAACAUCUCGAAAGGGAUGCUAACACCGCAUACGUCCUACGGGAGAAAGCAGGGGAUCUUCGGACCUUGCGCUAAUAGAUGAGCCGAAGUCGGAUUAGCUAGUUGGUGGGGUAAAGGCCUACCAAGGCGACGAUCUGUAGCGGGUCUGAGAGGAUGAUCCGCCACACUGGGACUGAGACACGGCCCAGACUCCUACGGGAGGCAGCAGUGGGGAAUAUUGGACAAUGGGGGGAACCCUGAUCCAGCCAUGCCGCGUGUGUGAAGAAGGCCUUAUGGUUGUAAAGCACUUUAAGCGAGGAGGAGGCUACUUUAGUUAAUACCUAGAGAUAGUGGACGUUACUCGCAGAAUAAGCACCGGCUAACUCUGUGCCAGCCGCCGCCGUAA
rnacentral:rRNA from 1 species